UACAGAGGGUGCGAGCGUUAAUCGGAAUUACUGGGCGUAAAGCGUGCGUAGACGGUAGCGUAAGUCAGAUGUGAAAGCCCCGGGCUCAACCUGGGAAUUGCAUUUGAGACUGCUCUGCUCGGGUGCGGAAGAGGGAAGCGGAAUUUCCGGUGUAGCGGUGAAAUGCGUAGAUAUCGGAAGGAACAUCAGUGGCGAAAGCGGCUUCCUGGUCCAGCACCGACGUUCAGGCACGAAAGCGUGGGGAGCAAACAGG
rnacentral:rRNA from 1 species